rnacentral:rRNA from 1 species
CAGGUGAUCUACCCUUGGUCAGGUUGAAGUUCAGGUAACACUGAAUGGAGGACCGAACCGACUUACGUUGAAAAGUGAGCGGAGGAACUGAGGGUAGCGGAGAAAUUCCAAUCGAACUUGGAGAUAGCUGGUUCUCUCCGAAAUAGCUUUAGGGCUAGCCUCAAGUGAUGAUUAUUGGGGGUAGAGCACUGUUUGGACGAGGGGCCCCUCUCGGGUUACCGAAUUCAGACAAACUCCGAAUGCCAAUUAAUUUAACUUGGGAGUCAGAACAUGGGUGAUAAGGUCCGUGUUCGAAAGGGAAACAGCCCAGACCACCAGCUAAGGUCCCAAAAUAUAUGUUAAGUGGAAAAGGAUGUGGCGUUGCCCAGACAACUAGGAUGUUGGCUUAGAAGCAGCCAUCAUUUAAAGAGUGCGUAAUAGCUCACUAGUCGAGUGACACUGCGCCGAAAAUGUAACGGGGCUAAACAUAUUACCGAAGCUGUGGAUUGUCCUUUGGACAAUGGUAGGAGAGCGUUCUAAGGGCGUCGAAGCAUGAUCGCAAGGACAUGUGGAGCACUUAGAAGUGAGAAUGCCGGUGUGAGUAG